rnacentral:rRNA from 1 species
UACGGAGGGAGCUAGCGUUAUUCGGAUUCAUUGGGCGUAAAGGGUGUGUAGGUGGCGCCGUAAGUCGGGUGUGAAAUUUCGGAGCUUAACUCCGAAACUGCAUUCGAUACUGCGGUGCUUGAGGACUGGAGAGGAGACUGGAAUUCAUGGUGUAGCAGUGAAAUGCGUAGAGAUCAUGAGGAAGACCAGUGGCGAAGGCGGGUCUCUGGACAGUUCCUGACACUGAGACACGAAGGCCAGGGGAGCAAACGGG